GUCGGAGAGAGCAGCAGCCACACGGAACGUGGACAGAGCGUUUACCUGGCCCUGUGCUCUGUGGGUACGCCAAGUAGCCGCCUCUUCCACGGGCCCCCCUACCUGAGCCACGCGCUGCUACGACCGCCGCCGCCGCCACCGAGAUGGAAGCUGGUGAUCGGUGAAACAAGUCUUUCAAGCGUGCCGCUCCGGUCCAUUUCGGAGGCCAGAAAGAUGGAGUGAGACGGAUGAAGUGUGAGCAGCGGAGACGGGAAGAACAGAUGAACAGAGGAGGCCAACAGACAUAUCAGUGGCCAAGGAAGACAAAGAGUGGAAAUGACACAAAAAAUAAGGCCGGAACACCAGUGUCCAAUACACUUUGGUGGAAUUCUCCAAGGCGGCGGAUAAAAAUAGCCACAGCACCAUUAGAGCGCAGUAUUUAACGCACCAUUAAAUACACGCAUGUGUUUUACAGUACUACCCUGGGAAAAGCUCAACGCGCUCACACGGCCGGCAGGAGGACACGCUGAGGAUAAAGUGCGACUAAAAAAAACGCAAAUCGAGCAUUGGAUGACACGAGGUACGCCACCCCAAUCUCGUGAGAGCCAUCGCAAGAGCUGCAUCGAAGAUAAAAUAACGCUCACUUUUUGACACUAACUCUAAAGAUGCAUCUGUCAGCUCUAGUGCUGUUUUAAUCCAGUUUACUCCCCCCCUCUCCCCCAUGUCUUGAGUUAUGAAUGGUUCACUAAAAUUGUUAUGGAAAUAAAUUUUCAGGGAAAUAUCGUGAAUUCACGCAGUAUGUCAGUCGAAAUCUACACGUAGCGCUCACUUGUGCGUAUUCGCACGCGUCACCUUUGUCAGGGUUUUUGUAGAUUGUUGCCAGAAAAUAGCCCUCAGCGUGAUCCCCCCCCCCCCUCCAAGAAAGUGAAACGUGGAAUUGGCUGCGCUAUUAAGAGACGCUGGAAAGCGUCGCUGUUGCGGCGGCUUCUGCUGAGCUGUGGCUAGUCGGUGCGGCUGCACGUCACCAUGUGCGGUAUUUAUUGAAUUGGUUCUUUUGAAGAGAUGUAAAUGCUGGGGAGUUCCAUUUAAGAAAUGCAGCAGGAAAGAUAAUUCAUAAAUGUACUCAACUGCGCGUGUGUGACUUUUUGGGCUUAAUUUGUACUCAUAGGAUCAGUUUUUAUUCUUUAAUUGAUUAUCUCCAGUGCUGGUUUACAAAAUGUAAAAAAAAAAACAAUAAAAUUGGGGUGUGUUUCCUUGUGUACUACUAAUAUGUCAUCUCUUUCAGUCUGUCAAUAUAAAAGCAGGUGCAGUUUGAAAAAUCUAUUUCUUACUUUUUGCG